rnacentral:rRNA from 1 species
UACAGGGGGUGCAAACGUUGCUCGGAAUCAUUGGGCGUAAAGCGCACGUAGGCGGUCUGUUAUGUCGGAUGUGAAAGCCCUUGGCUCAACUGAGGAAGUGCAUCCGAAACUGGCAGGCUAGAGUACUAAAGAGGGUCGCGGAAUUCCCGGUGUAGAGGUGAAAUUCGUAGAUAUCGGGAGGAACACCAGUGGCGAAGGCGGUGCUCUGGGCCGAGCCUGACGCUGAGACGCGAAAAGCGUGGGGGAGCAAACAGGG